AAACACUAUGAAUCUUGCCAUAUGCUUCAAGUAUGAGGAGAAGAGAAGUAAUUUUGGCAAACACAUUCUCAAUUCCAUAAAAUGUAGCGUUAUACAACAUUGAUACAAAAGAUAAUAACAACCAAAGUGUGUACAACCUAGUUUUGGUUUAUUAAUGUACUUGAAUAUGACAGUAUAUAGUUUCUUAUUAAACAGUGUCUUCAUUAUUGUUUGGCUUCGAUGUUCUAAGUGAAUAUUGACAUGCCAAAACUGCAUCUUCCAAAUUUAGAUAGAAUGAUUCCUUCCCAACUUUUUCAACAAACUUUGAUGCUAUUAGCUUCUCCAUAACCUCCAACCUAGGGUUUACCAAUGCCAUCUAUAUAAAAAUAUGGUAGAAAAAUAUAUUAAAAAAGAUAAAGUUUUCAUUUUGUGGCUCAAUUUAUUUAUGCAAAUUCAAUUUUGUCACACAACUAAAAAAAAUUAAUUAAAAACAAAGACAUGAAAUGUUUUUUUUUGUUACUAAAUGUAGUGGAAAUAUUAAAGAUAAAUUACAAAGACAUUUUUUUUUUUGAAGAAUAAAUUACAAAGACAUGAAAUGUAUGUGAUACCUGAAUUCCUUUCAUUUCCAAUAUUUUCUGUGUUUCCAAUAAUCCUUCAAUAGCAGUUGUGUCAAUAGAUGACACAGCUGUAUAAGCAUACAAAAAAGAGGGGUAAAUUUUAAUUAGUAAAAAAUUAGUGACAGAUAAAUUAAAUUCAGAUUAAUUUUUAUUUUUGUAAUUAAACUUAGUUGAUGAAAUAAUAAAAUUAACAACAAAUUUUUUUAUUAAGAUUCAUGUAUAUGCAAUAUGAACUGAAUAUUACACACACUAUGAAGGACAGAUAUUCUUCGGAUUAGAGGUAUCCCAGGAUCGGUCACACGACACGACACCGAUACAUAUAAUGACAUUGAAUUAUGUGAUUUUAUCAAAUUAUUAACGGUGUCAGCGUAUCAGUGCUCGUGUUGUGUCCGUAUCCGUAUUUCAUAUUACACAUAUAAUAAAACAACAAGGACUAAAAACAUAUAUAAUUUUCUUUUACCUGUUAAAACGAGUAUGACAUGCUCAACCAUAUCUCCAGAACUGCUUUGUUCACUUUUAAUAUACCUCAAAAUCCUAUUGCACAAUUUUAACAAAUUUUUAGAUUGUUAAAUUAACAUGUCUAUAUCAAUGGAUUAUCAUUAGAUGGUAAUAAAUAAGUGAUUCAAGAUUUAAUUAAUUACCUUUCUUUAAGGUAUGUAGAAUUUGAAAAGUAUAUAGGAGAACCAACUUGUAUAAUUAGAACUCCUGGAAUUGUUGAAGCAUUAGAAUAUUGCUCAACAUCUCUAUAUAAGCCAGAAUCAGGUAACUUUCCAAGCUUGCAUGCUGGUGGUCUUGCUAAAUAUAAUAGUCCUCUAAGUACACCUAGUCCAACCUAGAUUGCAAAUACAUAUAAAAUAAUUAUAAAAAAAAAACUUAAUAAAAUUAAAUUAUGAAAAAUUCAAUUCUAUGUACCAAAAAAAGUUGAAUUAGUGAUCAUGGUUUUAAAUUGUAGUAGCGUUCGUGAUUGCCACAAAAAGAGUAAUGCUAACAACAAUUAUAUGUACGAAAUUGUUGUUGCAGACUGCAAUUCAAAACCAUGUUAUAGAUAGAAAUUAGAGACAUAAAAUGAAAAUCUCGUCUCCAAUUUGGAGUUCGUAACAUGUACGAACAAAAUUGGAGACGAUUUCUUUUUCUUUCUCUAAUAUUUUGUCAUUAAUUCAACUCUUUUUAGGGUUAAGGGAAAAAAAAAUAGAAGUGAGAGAUUAAAUGAAAAAAAAUAAAAAAAUUUGAGUACUCACAGAGAGCAUGAGGCCAAUAUCCAUGCUUAAAAAGGCCACACCCAAGAAUGCACUCAUGCAGAUAAUAAAAUCAAACUUAUCAACUUUAAAGAGAUGAAUAGCUUCUGUAUAGUUUAUCAACCCUAACAUGGCUGAUACAAUGAUAGCUGAUAGAGCAACAAGUGGUGUGUUGCUAAAUAAUGGUGCCAAAAAUUGUAGUGUUAGAGCCAUUAUUACUGCUUGAACCACAUUUGUCAUUGCAGAUUUACAUCCUGCAUUGUAAUUCACAGCCGUCUUGGAAAAUGGUCCUACAAAAAUCAAUUUAAGAGUAAAUAUAUCAGCAUAAAAUAACGAACAUUUUUAUGUCAAAAGAUUAUAUUUGCAGUGUGAUAUAUGUUAAUCAUUAGAUUCGAUUUUUGAAACCUUGAAUUUCUGAUUAUACCUCCUGAAAAUAUCUCUACUCUAUUUUCAAGGCUAAAUUGUUUCUUGCGAUCACUUUACUUAAUUUUAGAUAAUGAUGUAGUCCUUUAUCUUUUCUAUGUCCUUUUGAUCUUUCACUCAUGUUCGAAUAUGAAUUUCAAGCUUUAAAUUUAUGUUUUUCUUUUCAUGUAGCUCUCAUUCUUAAUAUAUGUUAUGCCCUAAAAGAAAAUUAUAGAUUUGAAACUUGAAAAUUCAUAUGCAAACAUGGGAGAAGAACCAAAAUGACGUGAAAAAAGGUAAAUAACCAAAUGAUUGCCUAGAAUUAAGUACGGGACAACGAUAGUAAUUUUGUCAAUUUUCGGUCAUUGCCCUUUUCUAAUAUCAUUGCUAAAUAUUUUUUAUUUGAGGGAUGUAAAUACUAAAAAUAUAUACAUUAUUAUUAUUAUAUAAUUUUUUAGAUGAAACAUAAUUAUUUAUUAUUGAUGACUAUCAGUACAUAAAAAAAGGUAGCUCAUUGCAUGAGAUGAAAUUCAUAGAGUGCAAAUAUUUCCACUAGUUGAGAGAUUGAUUAUAAAAUUAUAACAUGUGACUUUUAGGUCACAUUCACAAGGUAACAAUCUUAUAGUUACACCAAGUCUCAUACUUAGUAUAUAAUGUGAAGAAAAAAAAAAUUAACUUACCACUAGUUAAGUAACAUGAUGUGAAAGAACCAAACAAGUUCAUAAGUCCAAAAGCUAUCAUCUCUUUGUUCCCAUCAUGAGGUGUAUUAGCAGUUACAGAAAAGCUUCUUCCUAUGGCUAUUCCUUCCUACAUAUACAUACAAAAAAAAUUUACUUAAUUGAUAAAAAUAUGUUAAUUAUGGUUUAAAUUAAAGAUAUUUUAAUUAAUUAAUUAAUUAAUUACCGCUAAUGAUAAUACUCCACUGAUUAGGCCAGCUUUCAUUACUGUGGAUAAAUAUCUUCUAUCAAAGGUCAGAAAUUGAAUUGAUAUAGGAUUUAGUCCUUUGUCUAGAUGCCCCACCUACAUAUGUAUAAACAUCAAAUAUCAAAUAUAAGAAGAAAAAAAAUGUUGUAUUUUAUAUAAAUAAGAUACUAAGAAAUUGAAGAAAAAUAAUACUAAUUAUAAGUAACUUACAAUUUGAAUUCCAUGUUGUGUACCUUUCACAAGGUAUGUAAAAACUCCACCAACUACUACACAUGUUAUUGGAGCUAUAGCAGAUACCCAAAAGAGUUUUGGUUUUUUAAGCCUCUGAAAAAUUAUAUUCAAAAGUGAAACUUUAUUAGAAAAUAUAUUUGAAUCCGAAUUGUUGUACUGUCAGAAAAAACAUGCCUUCUUGUAAACAAGAGAUUCUAGCUAUUAGAUGAAGAUCGUACAACUUGUUAAUUUUACAAAACAGAUUUUAAAAUACAAUAUAAAAUACAAGUCGUUAGAUUUUCCUCUAAUAGCUAAGAUCUAUGAUUGGAAAAAUCAUCAUAUCUCAAAAUCAAAGGAUUUUAAAAAUUGAAAAAAAAAUCAGAUAAUUCAUACUUUAAUUUCACUGAAUAGACUUAAAAUAUAACUCGAAAUAUGAAAGACAUAUAAAAUAUUGCUAUUGGUGCCAUAUUUUAUUCAUAGUUUGUGGAAUUAAAAUUCCCUAGAGGUCCACAAGUUUGAGUGGUGCACUAAAAAGUCUUCUAUCUCAAGCCACCUUUUUCUAUGUUCUUCUAACAAAAUAAAUAUGCAAAAGCAAAAGAUGAAAUGAGAUUGACUAUAUAUAUAUAUAUAACUACCAAAUAGAGCACUCACCAAGUGCCUUGUAAAUUGCAAGAAAACAAGGAAGAUUAUUCCAAGAACUGUAGUUUCCCAUCUUAUCUGUUAAAAUAGCAAUAAGAGAAGUUCACCCUUUAUUUCCACACACAAAAGUAUAUAGUUACAACUAUUUUGUCAGAAAAUAAUUUCUCACAAAUAUCUAUUUUAGGGUAAAUAUUUGAACAAAACAUAGCUGCACACUCUUUCUUCUUUUACAACACAUUUUUUUUUUUCUAUUCUCUUUCAUUUCUAGACUUCUAUGUCUAGUUUAGAUGUGUGGCAAAAUCUUUUCCCUUAAAUAAAUAAGAAAAAAGUUUAGUUAGACAUAUUUUGUGCAUGUUUAAUAUUAUGGUAGGUUGACAUGAAUUAUAGUGAGCCACGAUGAUUUUAGAAAAACUAUCUUAUGUAUCUUAACGCAAUAUAGUUUUUGCAAAAUUAUUAUGGUUCAUUGUGGUUUUGGCAGACAUGUAAUUAGUAUUUUACUUCAAAUAUAAAUAAAAUAUGUUUUUUUAAUUUAUUUGUUAAUUAAACAAGGCAUAAGAUGAUACUAACCAUUAUUAUUUAAAAAUCAGUACCCUUAUAAAAAAUAGUGAUUUAGCAUGGUAAUUAAAAAUCUGAUUUAGCAUGGUAAUUAACCUCUUAUUAUUUUGAUCAGUCAAGCCAAAAAAAAAAAACAUUAAUAUUUUGUACAAGAUACUAACCUCAUGUCUAUUGCUAAAGAUGCCCUCUAGCACUGCUACAACGUUGGUUUUGGUUGAAAAAUGUUUCAUUCCAAAAAUACCCUUGAAUUGUUGGAGGAUGAGAAUCACUGCUGUCCCUCCCAUAAAGCCAGUGAUGGUAGAAUGGGAAAAGAAAUCAACCAAUAUCCCAAGCCUACAAAUGUCCUUUCACAAAAUCAGCACCAAACCAACCACACAAAAAAAAGUAGAAUGAAAAUAAUUGAGAUGCAUUUGUCAAAUAGUACUGUUUUAUAUUUUUGUUUUUAUGUUAGAAACAAGACACCAACACCAGACAAAAAACGUAAGUACUUGAAUAUAAUCAUCGUGAUUUGUGACAUAAGUAAACGUUUGAAAGUAACUUUCAUCGUAAUUUGUGUUAGUAUCAGAUGCUGGACACUAAACAAUUGAAAGUAACAUUCAUCGCAAUUUGUGUUAGUAUUUGACAUUGGACACACCUUGAAUUUGGUACUAUUUAAUUUUUAUGAAUGAAAAUCAAAUAAACACGCACAAAACUUGAAGUACUUGAAUAUAACCAUCGUGAUAUCAGACAUCAAAUACGUCUUCAAUCCAUGUGUUACUGUUCUAUAGAUUAGAUAAAUAUCUUACUUUCUUAGUGACAAACAAAGCCAAAACAAAAUCACAUGUCAUCAAAUUAGAGGAAAGUAUUUAUAGGAAAAUGACAUGUUCUAUGUUCUUUUCUUACCUGAAAAAACCUAAACAAGCCUGGAAAACACCAGUGAUAAAGGUUGUUGUGAAAAUCAAGUGAAGAUACAAUGUUGGUUCUGCUAUAGGGUCUGCUACAGUUGAUACUAUGCUAGCAAUAAGCAAUGAUGCUGCUGCUAUUGUCCCAACUGCCAUGUGCCUAGAACUCCCAAAAACAGCAUACACUAAUGGUGGCACAAAGCUUGAAUCUGAUAUAUUUUAAUUCACCAAAAAUCAAAUCAAAAUCACUUGUUAAUUUGUAAAUAGAGAAAAAAAAAAAAAAAAAAAAGAACAUAGGAUUUGAAUAUGGGCAAAACUUAAAUGCAGUACUAGAAUUUUUGUUCUUUUUUUUGUUUUUACAUGUUCACUAGAUUGAGAUUGUAAUUAUAAACUUUAACAAUGGGAUCGGACGGUCAAGUCCCCGCUAUAACCACCGGAAAUCCAAUUUCCUCUUUACACCACCACCAUUAAAAGGGGUAAAAGGAGAAAGAAAAAAAUAUCUAUGAUGUCUCUUCACCCUCUCUUACCGCAAUAUAAUACCGAUUGACAGCAGUAUAUCUCGACUCCUUGAGAGGUUGCCGAGACAUCAAAUAAUACAAAAAAAAAUAUUAUGUAUUUUUUUUCACGUCAUUAAAGUUAAAACGACGUGAAAAGCAAAAUACUUUAGGUUUAAAAGAGUGAAAUGAAAAAUUGAAGUGAUAAUCUCUGCAAUUGCGCGAAGAAGAAAAAAAACCGAAGUAAUUAAGAAUGAAUGUAAUGUAAUAAUAAGAAUGACUUACAAAGGCCAAUGAGAGGAGGAAGAUUAGCAAGUUUGGCAUAACUAAUGCCUUGAGGAAUGGCAAGACUAGCAAUGGUGAGACCAGCAAUUAAGUCAGAGAAAAAUAAUCUCAAAGAAUAAUUUGGUAACCACUCAAAGAUUGGAAUAAAAUAUUGCACCCCUUUAAUCAACCUACGAGAUUUUUUUUCCUCUUCCAUAAUUUGCCUAAAAGGAUCAUCAGGGAAAAGUGCUUCUUUGAACCCAGAUUUCAAUUUUGUCACAAAACCUCUUUGGGUUGAUAAGUUCACCCCAUUAUGAUGAAUCUCUUGCACUUUUGCCAUCAAGAAAUUUUGUGUAGAAUUCAAGAAGAAAAAAACAAAGACAAAAACACAAAAAGGUGUUGUAUUAUUAAGGUUGGAAUGUG
rnacentral:lncRNA from 1 species